rnacentral:lncRNA from 1 species
UCUUUUCUUUCUUUAUUUCUUUUUUUCAGCCUUUUUUUCUUCUCUUUUCUUCCUUUCUUUCUUCCUCCCCGAUCAGCCCCCCGCCGAUUUCUCUGCUGCUGCCGGUGCUUUCUCCGCCUGCGGUGCAACGGCCGACGACGGCGACGUGCGGUGGAGCUCUCCUUUUCUCCCUCUUUUCUUCUUUGCUUGCUCCUUUUUUUUUUAUUUUCAUGGGUAUUUUUCUUUGAUGAUUUUUUUGCUUGAUUUGCUUUCUUUGGUGGUAGUAGAUGGGAGUAUAACGGUGGUGGCGGUUUGACGACGCACGGUGGCGAUGAGGCUGCUGUUUUUGCUUGAUUUUUCUCUCAAAAAUUUUGUUAUUUUUUUUCUUUUUGCUUCCUUGCUUGGCUGCUGAAUUGGGGGUUUGAAAACCCUUUUAAAUUGUUGAUUUUUCUUCUUUUUUUGCAGGUAGCAAGUGGUUAGGGGAGAGAGAAGCCAUGCUUUAGGUCGGCUGUCGCAGUGUAGGUGCGCAACUUGCAUUGUCGGAUGCCAGACGGACCAAAUUGCAAACACAGUAAAACUUUUGGGGCCAAAAUAUAAUUUUGAGAAAAUUUAGGGCUCAAAAUGUAAUUUCAAAAAGCUUAGGGGUCAAAAUAUAAUUUUAGGAAAUUUUAGGGUCAAAAUGCAAUUUUAAAAAUUUUAGGGGUCAAAAUGUAAUUUUUUAUUUUUGUAUUUUUUAGAAAUUUAAAAAAAAAAAAACGAAAUCAAGCUGGACAAAAUUCAGUGAUUACAGGGACAUUUGAAUCAAAGAUCUUAGUCAAUGUGUCCCAUUCUCCUGUGCCAUAAUUUGGUUUCAUCUAGCGAACUGGUAUAAGUAACAGAAGUUGCCAAGUUCCAAUUAACAGUAAAACUUUUAUCAACC